AGAUUGAACGCUGGCGGCAGGCCUAACACAUGCAAGUCGAGCGGCAGCACGGGUACUUGUACCUGGUGGCGAGCGGCGGACGGGUGAGUAAUGCCUAGGAAUCUGCCUGGUAGUGGGGGAUAACGCUCGGAAACGGACGCUAAUACCGCAUACGUCCUACGGGAGAAAGCAGGGGACCUUCGGGCCUUGCGCUAUCAGAUGAGCCUAGGUCGGAUUAGCUAGUUGGCGGGUAAUGGCUCACCAAGGCGACGAUCCGUAACUGGUCUGAGAGGAUGAUCAGUCACACUGGGACUGAGACACGGCCCAGACUCCUACGGGAGGCAGCAGUGGGAAUUUUGGACAAUGGGCGAAAGCCUGAUCCAGCCAUGCCGCGUGUGUGAAGAAGGCCUUCGGUUGUAAAGCACUUUGUCCGAAAGAAAGCUUCGGUUAAUACCGGAAGUUCUGACGUACGAAGAAUAAGCACGCUAACUCGUGCCAGCAGCCGCGUAAU
rnacentral:rRNA from 1 species